GAUGAACGCUGGCGGCGUGCCUAAUACAUGCAAGUCGAGCGAACAGAUGAGGAGCUUGCUCCUCUGACGUUAGCGGCGGACGGGUGAGUAACACGUGGAUAACCUACCUAUAAGACUGGGAUAACUUCGGGAAACCGGAGCUAAUACCGGAUAAUAUAUUGAACCGCAUGGUUCAAUAGUGAAAGACGGUUUUGCUGUCACUUAUAGAUGGAACCGCGCCGCAUUAGCUAGUUGGUAAGGUAACGGCUUACCAAGGCAACGAUGCGUAGCCGACCUGAGAGGGUGAUCGGCCACACUGGAACUGAGACACGGUCCAGACUCCUACGGGAGGCAGCAGUAGGGAAUCGUCCGCAAUGGGCGAAAGCCUGACGGAGCAACGCCGCGUGAGUGAUGAAGGUCUUCGGAUCGUAAAACUCUGUUAUUAGGGAAGAACAAAUGUGUAAGUAACUAUGCACGUCUUGACGGUACCUAAUCAGAAAGCCACGGCUAACUACGUG
rnacentral:rRNA from 1 species